rnacentral:rRNA from 1 species
UGAGCAACCUGCCCUCAGCUCUGGGGAUAACUCCGGGAAACCGGGGCUAAUACCGGAUACGACUUGGGUCGACAUCGGCCCGGGUGGAAAGAAUCUCGGCUGAGGAUGGGCCCGCGGCCUAUCAUGCUUGAUGGUGAGGUAACGGCCCACCACGGCGACAACGGGUAGCCGGCCUGAGAGGGCGACCGGCCACACUGGGACUGAGACACGGCCAGACUCCUACGGGAG